rnacentral:rRNA from 1 species
CGCACGGGUGAGUAACACGUAUCCAACCUGCCGUCUACUCUUGGACAGCCUUCUGAAAGGAAGAUUAAUACAAGAUGGCAUCAUGAGUUCACAUGUUCACAUGAUUAAAGGUAUUCCGGUAGACGAUGGGGAUGCGUUCCAUUAGAUAGUAGGCGGGGUAACGGCCCACCUAGUCUUCGAUGGAUAGGGGUUCUGAGAGGAAGGUCCCCCACAUUGGACUGAGACACGGCCAA